UAAAUCAUCCAGAAAGCUCCAGCGGGAAGUUGUCCUCCCGGAUGAUGUCCAGUUUUUUUUCUUUUUCUUUUCAGAUUAUGCACAUGACCAAGAUAAAAUAUCUCUGUGGCUACCGUUUACAUAAAUUAUAUGGCUCUGAAAUGCCAAUUUCGUAUCCAGACCGGCAAAUCUUUCAGCCAAAGGAGCUUUUAUAAUUGUCUGAUGAAACCAAGGAGUCCUGCUCUCUGUGAUUCAGAACAGCUUCAAAAUGUAGGGGCCCAGGAAAACCUGUUAUUGGCCAGGCUUGGAUCAUAUGCUUACACCUGGGUUCAUCUCUGGAUGCAACGGGAGAAGUACUGUGUCUAAGGGAUGUGCUCUCAUCAGUGGUUAAGGAGGUGGCCUGUUCCAGAGCUUGGAACCUGUGUUUGUUCUCCCCCAAGCUCCCAUCCCUGCGGGCUUCUUCCCUGGGAAGGUGGCCUGGGACCAGGCCAAGGAUCUAUGGAAAAUUGCAGCUAAGCUUGCAUAAGUAAACCUUGGAAGAGGGGAGGCUAAGGAAUGCCCAGAAUGGAAGGAUGCUGUGGCCUGCCCUGAGCUUUCCAGCCUGCCGAGCUAUGAGCCUUCAAGAAGGUGCGACUUGAAGCAGCUUCUCUGUUUCCAAUUAUCCUUUUUAUCUCUGCUCUGGCCCCUCUUGUUACCUAAGUGUUUUCAUAGCUCUCAGCCAUUACUGUUUAGCUUUGGGAGGAUAAAUGUGAA
rnacentral:lncRNA from 1 species